rnacentral:ncRNA from 1 species
AGAUGAGGUACCCUCACGGGUUUAAUAGGGAAUCCGGUGUUGUUCCGCCCCUGGCGGGAUAGUCCGGAGCUGUACCCGCAGCUGUAAUCCCACUUCCGCUUUUAAGCGGGAUAAUUGCCCUGGACACAUUAAGCCACUGUACCGCUCAUAGCGGCACGGGAAGGCGUUCCAGGACAAGGGAAAGCCAGAAAACCUGCCAAAUCUC